rnacentral:rRNA from 1 species
GACAUGGCUCAGGAUGAACGCUAGCUACAGGCUUAACACAUGCAAGUCGAGGGGAAACGACAUCGAAAGCUUGCUUUUGAUGGGCGUCGACCGGCGCACGGGUGAGUAACGCGUAUCCAACCUGCCCAUCACUUGGGAAUAACCUUGCGAAAGUAAGACUAAUGCCCAAUGAUAUCCCACGAAGGCAUCCGAAUGGGAUUAAAGAUUUAUCGGUGAUGGAUGGGGAUGCGUCUGAUUAG